rnacentral:rRNA from 1 species
UACGUAGGGUGCGAGCGUUAAUCGGAAUUACUGGGCGUAAAGCGUGCGCAGGCGGUCUGUUAAGACCGAUGUGAAAGCCCCGGGCUUAACCUGGGAAUGGCAGUGGAAACUGGCGGGCUUGAGUGUGGCAGAGGGGGGUGGAAUUCCGCGUGUAGCAGUGAAAUGCGUAGAGAUGCGGAGGAACACCGAUGGCGAAGGCAGCCCCCUGGGCUGACACUGACGCUGAGGCACGAAAGCGUGGGGAGCAAACAGG